UACGUAGGGUCCGAGCGUUGUCCGGAGUUACUGGGCGUAAAGCGCGCGCAGGCGGCUGUCCAAGCCCGGCGUGAAAGCCCCCGGCUCAACCGGGGAGGGUCGUCGGGGACUGGGCGGCUUGAGGACGGCAGGGGUCGGUGGAAUUCCCGGUGUAGUGGUGAAAUGCGUAGAGAUCGGGAGGAACACCCGUGGCGAAGGCGGCCGACUGGGCCGGACCUGACGCUGAGGCGCGAAGGCGUGGGGAGCGAACGGG
rnacentral:rRNA from 1 species